GCCUACGGGGGGCAGCAGUGGGGAAUCUUCCGCAAUGGACGAAAGUCUGACGGAGCAACGCCGCGUGUAUGAUGAAGGCCUUCGGGUUGUAAAGUACUGUUUUCAGGGACGAACGGUAAGAGUGUAAAUAAUGCUUUUACAUGACGGUACCUGAGGAGGAAGCCCCGGCUAACUACGUGCCAGCAGCCGCGGUAAUACGUAGGGGGCAAGCGUUGUCCGGAAUCAUUGGGCGUAAAGGGCGCGUAGGCGGAUAAUUAAGUCUGGUGUGAAAACUUGGGGCUCAACCCCAAGCCUGCAUCGGAAACUGGUUAUCUUGAGGACAGGAGAGGAAAGUGGAAUUCCACGUGUAGCGGUGAAAUGCGUAGAGAUGUGGAGGAACACCAGUGGCGAAGGCGACUUUCUGGACUGUAACUGACGCUGAGGCGCGAAAGCGUGGGGAGCAAACAGGAUUAGAUACCCGUGUAGUCC
rnacentral:rRNA from 1 species